GAUGAACGCUGGCGGCGUGCCUAAUACAUGCAAGUCGAGCGAACAGACGAGGAGCUUGCUCCUCUGACGUUAGCGGCGGACGGGUGAGUAACACGUGGAUAACCUACCUAUAAGACUGGGAUAACUUCGGGAAACCGGAGCUAAUACCGGAUAAUAUAUUGAACCGCAUGGUUCAAUAGUGAAAGACGGUUUUGCUGUCACUUAUAGAUGGAUCCGCGCGGCAUUAGCUAGUUGGUAAGGUAACGGCUUACCAAGGCAACGAUGCGUAGCCGACCUGAGAGGGUGAUCGGCCACACUGGAACUGAGACACGGUCCAGACUCCUACGGGAGGCAGCAGUAGGGAAUCUUCCGCAAUGGGCGAAAGCCUGACGGAGCAACGCCGCGUGAGUGAUGAAGGUCUUCGGAUCGUAAAACUCUGUUAUUAGGGAAGAACAAAUGUGUAAGUAACUGUGCACGUCUUGACGGUACCUAAUCAGAAAGCCACGGCUAACUACGUG
rnacentral:rRNA from 1 species